UGGUAAUGCCGGAUGCUCCAGUUGAUCGCAUGGUCUUCUGGGAAAGCUUUCGCGGUAUGGGAUGGGGUCGCGUCCUAUCAGCUUGACGGCGGGGUAACGGCCCACCGUGGCUUCGACGGGUAGCCGGCCUGAGAGGGCGACCGGCCACAUUGGGACUGAGAUACGGCCCAGACUCCUACGGGAGGCAGCAGUGGGGAAUAUUGCACAAUGGGCGCAAGCCUGAUGCAGCGACGCCGCGUGAGGGAUGGAGGCCUUCGGGUUGUAAACCUCUUUUAUCGGGGAGCAAGCGAGAGUGAGUUUACCCGUUGAAUAAGCACCGGCUAACUACGUGCCAGCAGCCGCGGUAAUACGUAGGGUGCAAGCGUUAUCCGGAAUUAUUGGGCGUAAAGGGCUCGUAGGCGGUUCGUCGCGUCCGGUGUGAAAGUCCAUCGCUUAACGGUGGAUCCGCGCCGGGUACGGGCGGGCUUGAGUGCGGUAGGGGAGACUGGAAUUCCCGGUGUAACGGUGGAAUGUGUAGAUAUCGGAAAAAGAACACCA
rnacentral:rRNA from 1 species